rnacentral:rRNA from 1 species
GAUGAACGCUGACAGAAUGCUUAACACAUGCAAGUCUACUUGAAUUUGGGUUUUUAACUUAGAUUUGGGUGGCGGACGGGUGAGUAACGCGUAAAGAACUUGCCUCACAGCUAGGGACAACAUUUAGAAAUGAAUGCUAAUACCUAAUAUUAUGAUAAUAGGGCAUCCUAUAAUUAUGAAAGCUAUAUGCACUGUGAGAGAGCUUUGCGUCCCAUUAGCUAGUUGGAGAGGUAACGGCUCACCAAGGCGAUGAUGGGUAGCCGGCCUGAGAGGGUGAUCGGCCACAAGGGGACUGAGACACGGCCCUUACUCCUACGGGAGGCAGCAGUGGGGAAUAUUGGACAAUGGACCAAGAGUCUGAUCCAGCAAUUCUGUGUGCACGAUGAAGUUUUUCGGAAUGUAAAGUGCUUUCAGUUGGGAAGAAAAAAAUGACGGUACCAACAGAAGAAGUGACGGCUAAAUACGUGCCAGCAGCCGCGGUAAUACGUAUGUCACAAGCGUUAUCCGGAUUUAUUGGGCGUAAAGCGCGUCUAGGUGGUUAUGUAAGUCUGAUGUGAAAAUGCAGGGCUCAACUCUGUAUUGCGUUGGAAACUGUGUAACUAGAGUACUGGAGAGGUAAGCGGAACUACAAGUGUAGAGGUGAAAUUCGUAGAUAUUUGUAGGAAUGCCGAUGGGGAAGCCAGCUUACUGGACAGAUACUGACGCUGAAGCGCGAAAGCGUGGGUAGCAAACAGG